rnacentral:rRNA from 1 species
GACGAACCGUGCGAACGUUGUUCGGAAUCACUGGGCUUAAAGGGCGCGUAGGCGGUUGGUCAAGUCAGGGGUGAAAUCUUUCGGCUCAACCGGAAAACUGCCUUUGAUACUGACUGGCUGGAGGGAGAUAGGGGUUGCGGGAACUACCAGUGGAGCGGUGAAAUGCGUAGAUAUCACUUGGAACGCCAAUGGUGAAGACAGCUCGCUGGGGGUGUCCUGACGCUGAGGCGCGAAAGCCAGGGGAGCGAACGGG